rnacentral:lncRNA from 1 species
UCAAAAAGCAGCCUUUGGGCAGUAGCAGCAGCAUCACUCAGCUGGGAGGGAGGGUUUUUCUCCAGGUAUUGAUCAGCAGUUAACAACAAAUGCCCAGCAUGGAAAUAAAUACAGGUUCUGUGGUGGUGCUGCAGACUGAGCCUGAGGCCACAGGGAGCUCUGCAAUAACUCAGCUGUCUCUUCUGAUGCACAGUGGAGCAGGUGAGGCUGAUUCACUCAGGCCUGCUGACUGCAGCUGCUCUGCCUUCUUAAGCAGGAGCAGAUGGGCAGGAGCUUCAGCUCCUCUCCUUAUCCCAAGGGACCAUCCUCGGGGGGAAAAAGAAGCAGGAUGCUCUUUAAAGUUGGUAAAUAAGAUCUCAAUUUGA